UUCUGUAAGCCUGUGAAGGUGUACUGUGAGGUAUGCUGGAGGUAUCAGAAGUGCGAAUGCUGACAUAAGUAACGAUAAAGCGGGUGAAAAGCCCGCUCGCCGGAAGACCAAGGGUUCCUGUCCAACGUUAAUCGGGGCAGGGUGAGUCGACCCCUAAGGCGAGGCCGAAAGGCGUAGUCGAUGGGAAACAGGUUAAUAUUCCUGUACUUGGUGUUACUGCGAAGGGGGGACGGAGAAGGCUAUGUUGGCCGGGCGACGGUUGUCCCGGUUUAAGCGUGUAGGCUGGUUUUCCAGGCAAAUCCGGAAAAUCAAGGCUGAGGCGUGAUGACGAGGCACUACGGUGCUGAAGCAACAAAUGCCCUGCUUCCAGGAAAAGCCUCUAAGCAUCAGGUAACAUCAAAUCGUACCCCAAACCGACACAGGUGGUCAGGUAGAGAAUACCAAGGCGCUUGAGAGAACUCGGGUGAAGGAACUAGGCAAAAUGGUGCCGUAACUUCGGGAGAAGG
rnacentral:rRNA from 1 species